GACGAACGCUGGCGGCGUGCUUAACACAUGCAAGUCGAGCGGAAAGGCUCCUUCGGGGGUACUCGAGCGGCGAACGGGUGAGUAACACGUGAGUAAUCUGCCCUGCGCUCUGGGAUAGCCACCGGAAACGGUGAUUAAUACCGGAUAUGACCGCUACACGCAUGUGUUGGUGGUGGAAAGUUUUUCGGCGCAGGAUGUGCUCGCGGCCUAUCAGCUUGUUGGUGAGGUAAUGGCUCACCAAGGCUUUGACGGGUAGCCGGCCUGAGAGGGUGACCGGUCACACUGGGACUGAGACACGGCCCAGACUCCUACGGGAGGCAGCAGUGGGGAAUAUUGGACAAUGGGCGGAAGCCUGAUCCAGCAACGCCGCGUGAGGGAUGACGGCCUUCGGGUUGUAAACCUCUUUCAGUACCGACGAAGCGAAAGUGACGGUAGGUACAGAAGAAGGACCGGCCAACUACGUGCCAGCCGCCGCCGUAAAAC
rnacentral:rRNA from 1 species